UACGGAGGGUGCAAGCGUUGUCCGGAUUUAUUGGGUUUAAAGGGUGCGUAGGCGGCCCGUUAAGUCAGUGGUGAAAUAUCUCAGCUUAACUGAGAGGGUGCCAUUGAUACUGCAGGGCUUGAGUACAGAUGAGGUAGGCGGAAUUGACGGUGUAGCGGUGAAAUGCAUAGAUAUCGUCAAGAACACCGAUAGCGAAGGCAGCUUACCAAGCUGUAACUGACACUGAGGCACGAAAGUGUGGGGAUCAAACAGG
rnacentral:rRNA from 1 species